rnacentral:rRNA from 1 species
AUAGUUUUUGGGCUCUGGGGAAACUACGACCGCAAGGCUGAAACUUGAAGGAAUUGACGGAAGGGCACACCAGGGGUGGAGCCUGUGGCUUAAUUGAAUCAACACGGGGAAACUUACCAGGACCAGAUGUUUUUUAUGACUGACAGGCUUCGGGUCUUUCAGGAUAUUGUUUUUGGUGGUGCAUGGCCGUUGGUGGUGCGUGGGUUGACCUGUCUAGCGUUGAUUCAGCUAACGAGCGAGAUUAUCGCCAAUUAUUUACUUUGCCGAAGUCCUUCGGUUAAAGUUCUAAUUGGGACUCCCUGCGAUUUUAGCAGGUGGAAGAGGGUAGCAAUAACAGGUCCGUGAUGCCCUUUAGAUGCUCUGGGCUGCACGCGUGCUACAAUGUUAGGAUCAAUAGGACUGCGAGCCUGAGAGGGUGCGCUACUCUUAUAAUCCCUAACGUAGUUGGGAUUGACGUUUGUAAUCAGCGUCAUGAACCAGGAAUCCCUUGUAAAUGUGUGUCAACAACGCACGUUGAAUACGUCCCUGCCCUUUGUACACACCGCCCGUCGCUCCUACCGAUUGGAUGACUCGGUGAAAUCACCGGAUGCUUACGAGCAGAAAGUGAUUAAAUCACGUUAUCUAGAGGAAGGAGAAGUCGUAACAAGGUAACGGUAGGUGAACCUGCCGUUGGAUC